rnacentral:rRNA from 1 species
CCUACGGGGUGCAGCAGUGAGGAAUAUUGGUCAAUGGCCGAGAGGCUGAACCAGCCAAGUCGCGUGAGGGAAGACGGCCCUACGGGUUGUACACCUCUUUUGUCGGGGAGCAAAGCGAGUCACGUGUGACUCAUUGAGAGUCACCGAAGAAAAAGCAUCGGCUAACUCCGUGCCAGCAGCAGCGGUAAUACGGAGGAUGCGAGCGUUAUCCGGAUUUAGUGGGUUUAAAGGGUGCGCAGGCGGAGGUGCAAGUCAGCGGUCAAAUUGCGGGGCUCAACCCCGUACUGCCGUUGAAACUGCAUCCCUUGAGUGCGCGAGAAGUAUGCGGAAUGCGUGGUGUAGCGGUGAAAUGCAUAGAUAUCACGCAGAACUCCGAUUGCGAAGGCAGCAUACCGGCGCGCAACUGACGCUCAUGCACGAAAGCGUGGGUAUCGAACAGGAUUAGAUACCCCUGUAGUC